rnacentral:rRNA from 1 species
AACGAACGCUGGCGGCGUGGAUAAGACAUGCAAGCCGAACGCUGAACACGGGGUAGCAAUAUUCCGUGUUCGGAGUGGCGCAAGGGUGCGUAACACGUGGGUAAUCUGCCGCGAAGACCGGGAUAACUUGCUGAAAGGCGAGCUAAUACCGGAUGUGGAAUUUGGGAGGCAUCUUUUGAAUUCUGAAGCUGGGGACUGUAACAGGCCUGGCACUUCGCGAUGAGCCCGCGGCCUAUCAGCUAGUUGGUGAGGUAAUGGCUCACCAAGGCUAAGACGGGUAGCUGGUCUGAGAGGACGACCAGCCUCACUGGAACUGAGAGACGGUCCAGACACCUACGGGUGCAGCAGUCGAGAAUUUUUCACAAUGGGCGAAAGCCUGAUGG